CCGACUCACCACUCUCUCCCUUUCCAAGAUUCCUCCCCGCCAGACCAAGUUUCUUUCGAAUCUUCUAACCACGCUGCCUUACUCCUCUGCGACCCCCUCCAACUCUUAUUAAUUUAUGCAGAAGCAGCCUCUUCGCCUGAAGCUAAGUACGUACUGAAACACCUUCCAACUCUCGGACACCCUUCUCUAGAUCUUCUCACCUAAUUCUCUUCUGCUAGCCGCUCUCAUCCAAAUCUCUGUUGGUUUAUGAGAUAUAAAGAAGUAAUAGCCAUUGAGUCAUUCAUUUAAAGGAAGAAGAGGGGAUGGAGAGCGAUGAAGGCUUCAAGACCUAGCGAGAAUGGCGAAAAUGGAGAAAAAUUUACGGAUGGCGUCAAUGAGCAAGAAGAACACUCAACGGUUACAGCUCAAUAACUUAAGUCAUCGAUACUUCACUCGUAACACUUCCUCCAAGUGGAGUUUGCUUACAAACUUGACAGUCUUGGAUUUAAUGUUAAGGCUGGGUAUUAAGGGAGCACUUUCAAGCUUUGGGUUCCUUUUCCUAGACAAGAUGCAGAUAGAAAUGUUUCAUUAUGAGGUUCUUAAUUCAUGCGACAAGGCAUGUGAUAUGGCAAAACGGGCAUUUGAAGAUGCCGUAGUUGAGCUGCACACUGCAGUGAGUGAAGAAUAUUACAAGGAUUGCACUAUGCUAAUGCAACUUCUACAAGACAAUCUCACUCUUUGGAGUUCAUCAUAUCUGCAGGUUCGGAAAACGAGUUGAACUUAAUGUAGAAUGAUCCAGUAAUCAAUGAAAUCUCAGAAGAUGAUAUUAAUUAUCUAAGUGAUCAGACUCAUCUGCUGAGGAAGACUAGCAAAAUAUUGCUCAGUUGAAGGAAAUGUUAUAUGAGCUGUUCAAAUGAAAAGGAAAACAAAGACAUUAGCUCUGGCCGUACCUGGACGGUGCUAUACAUCCAGGUAGCAUUUCAAUCAGUACAUACCACCAUUGCCCUGCUCUCCAAGCUCCUGAGUUAUCUGAGUGCCCUGCUCUCCAAGCUCCUGAGUUAUCUGAGUUGCCGAAGAUUCAAAAUGUCACCAGAAAUUCCUCAGGGAAUGCUGUGCAAGAUAUCAUUAAAAACUUUGGGUUACCACAAACUGCACAACAGGAAGAAAAUAGGGCCCACCCUCAAUCGAGGUCAAGCAGAAUAUUUCAUGGACCAACGGAGUCCUUGGUUGCUAGCCUUCAUAGAGGUUUACAGAUUUACCAUCAAAUUUCUGUAUCAACGACAUUAUUCUUUUUCUUUGCAUAUUAAUUGACUAUUAACAUUGACUAUCAACGACAUUAUUCUUUU